rnacentral:rRNA from 1 species
CACGAACGCUGGCGGCAUGCCUAACACAUGCAAGUCGAACGAGAUCUUCGGAUCUAGUGGCGCACGGGUGCGUAACGCGUGGGAAUCUGCCCUUUGCUUCGGAAUAACAGUGAGAAAUUACUGCUAAUACCGGAUGAUGUCUUCGGACCAAAGAUUUAUCGGCAAGGGAUGAGCCCGCGUAGGAUUAGGUAGUUGGUGGGGUAAUGGCCUACCAAGCCGACGAUCCUUAGCUGGUCUGAGAGGAUGAUCAGCCACACUGGGACUGAGACACGGCCCAGACUCCUACGGGAGGCAGCAGUGGGGAAUAUUGGACAAUGGGCGAAAGCCUGAUCCAGCAAUGCCGCGUGAGUGAUGAAAGCCUUAGGGUUGUAAAGCUCUUUUACCAGGGAUGAUAAUGACAGUACCUGGAGAAUAAGCUCCGGCUAACUCCGUGCCAGCCGCCGCGGUAACAC